UACGUAGGUCCCGAGCGUUGUCCGGAUUUAUUGGGCGUAAAGCGAGCGCAGGUGGUUUAUUAAGUCUGGUGUAAAAGGCAGUGGCUCAACCAUUGUAUGCAUUGGAAACUGGUAGACUUGAGUGCAGGAGAGGAGAGUGGAAUUCCAUAUGUAGCGGUGAAAUGCGUAGAUAUAUGGAAGAGCACCAGUGGCGAAAGCGGCUCUCUGGUCUGUAACUGACGCUGAGGUUCGAAAGCGUGGGUAGCAAACAGG
rnacentral:rRNA from 1 species